rnacentral:rRNA from 1 species
UACGAAGGGGGCUAGCGUUGCUCGGAAUUACUGGGCGUAAAGCGCACGCAGGCGGUUCGCCAAGUUUGGAGUGACAGUUGUCGGCUCAACCGACAAAGGACUUCAAAAACUGGUGAACUUGAGGACGAGAGAGGAACAUGGAACUCCAGGUGUAGUAGUGAAAUGCGUAGAUAUCUGGAAGAACACCAAUGGCGAAGGCAAGGUUCUGGCUCGUUUCUGACGCUCAGGUGCGAAAGCCAGGGGAGCGAACGGG